CCUACGGGUGGCAGCAGUAGGGAAUAUUGCUCAAUGGGGGAAACCCUGAAGCAGCCACGCCGCGUGGAGGAUGAAGGUUUUCGGAUUGUAAACUCCUUUUGUUAGAGAAGAUAAUUACGGUAUCUAACGAAUACUCACCGGCUAACUCCGUUCCAGCAGCCGCGGCACUACGGAGGGUGCAAGCGUUACUCGGAAUCACCGGGCGUAAAGCGCUCGUAGGCGGGAUAGCAAGUCAGAUGUGAAAUCCUUUGGCUUAAACAUAGAACUGCAAUUGAAACUGUUAGUCUUGAGUAUGGGAGAGGUAGGUGGAAUUCGUGGUGUAGGGGUAAAAUCCGUAGAGAUCAAGAGGAAUUCUGAUUGCGAAGGCAACCUGCUAGAACAUAACUGACGCUGAUGCGCGAAAGCGUGGGUAGCAAACAGGAUUAGAUACCCCAGUAGUC
rnacentral:rRNA from 1 species